rnacentral:lncRNA from 1 species
AAAAUAAAAUUUCCCAAUGUUUACUAAAGAUGACUAUUUAGUUAAUAAUUCUAUAAAUCCCAUUUUUAGUGCGUGAAACGACUAUUACCCAAAAGGCAACAAACAAGUAUAAAAGGCAAAGGAACUGUUUUCCUGUCUCAGAAGAAAAUAUAGUCCUUGAAAAGUUUUCCAGACAAUGAAAAGCUCUGCCAAAGGAAUGUUGGAGGGACAGUUAUUCUCUCACCCUCAGGAAUAAUUAUCCUUAGCCUUGGCAGCAAUUUCAUGAGUCUAAGAAGUUAGGAGAGCCUUGGUUCAGAUCCUUGUUGGAAGUAGCAUCUGAAGCAGUCUCUGGGAGGAGAAAAUGACCACUGCCAGAAGGAUGAAUCUAAGCCCUGGGCUGGUUUGCCAGAAUGCAUGGACCUUGGACGAAUCCUUGGACAACAUAGAGAAAAAGCAAAGGCAUACUUUAGGCUUUCUGCUUAUAUCCUUUGUGAAUAUAGUUUGUCAUUCGAUUUCUCUUUCAUGGGUCAGAUUUUGUCAAGGUCAGUGAUGCUCAUUAGUCUCCUAUCUCAGAACUCCUACCUCAAUGCUGUUUAUACAAAGCCAAUGCUCAAUUCUCCAGACAGACCACAUCUAUGUAAUCAUUCCUUUCAGGAACACAGUGUCCUGGUCUAAACUGCUCCUGGUUUUGCCAAAUUCAAAGACAGUUCAUUCCAUUCCUUUAUGCAGACGUUGCUCCUUUUCUUUGUAAUUGUUCUCACCAUUAGUGAAUUUUGCAAGGUCAGACUCACCUUUUGCUAGGGAGCUCAUAUUGCUCAAAAUAAAACCUUAAUAUGGUUAUAAUAGUCUCCCA